rnacentral:rRNA from 1 species
UACGGGGGGGGCAAGCGUUGUUCGGAAUUACUGGGCGUAAAGGGCUCGUAGGCGGCCAACUAAGUCAGACGUGAAAUCCCUCGGCUUAACCGGGGAACUGCGUCUGAUACUGGAUGGCUUGAAUCCGGGAGAGGGAUGCGGAAUUCCAGGUGUAGCGGUGAAAUGCGCAGAUAUCAGGAGGAACACCAAUUGCGAAGGCAGCUCGCUGGGACGUAACUGACGCUGAGACGCGAAAGCGUGGGGAGCAAACAGG